GAAAAGGCGUUCUUGGAUGUUUGUUCUUUGUGUGCUUUCAGGCCUAAUCGACAGGACGGGAGAUUUAAUUAAGCAGGCAACAAGCUGUAGUUGAUGUCCAGGUGUUGGAAAGGCAAGUUACUUGUUGGCAGAAUUGCCUUGUUAAGUUUAAGGUCUUCACAGGCUUCAGGGAUGUCUGACCUAGGCGAGGUUAGCAAGGCUUGGGAAGAAGGAUGUACCACUGAUGGUGGACACAAAGAACGCAGAACUUAUGGGCACAAGGACAUUCAGCAGAACCCCCAAGACAAGGAGCCAACUAAAAAAGCCGAUGCAGCAGCUGUGUUGAAUCAGCUCCAGCAGGGCAAAAGGUGAUUCCCACAGGGGCAAAUGAAGGCCAUCGACUCACAGUCACCAGUUCAAGAAACCACUGACUGAAAAGAAUGACUGAGGAGGGAGAUUAAUUAGCAUGAGAGGCAAGAGGAUUAUUACCCAACUGCAAACAGAAUACUAAUUAUUACGAAAACAAGGAUGCUACUCAUCAGGAGCAGAGGUUUCACUGAACUCAGGUCUGUGGAGACCCAGAGGACCACAGCUCUGAAGCAGGAAAGAGGUGUUAUUCCUGACACUAGCAUUAAUCUCUGGAAUGUUUUGUGGCAAAUCACUUGCUCUUCAUUCAUUGCCAGGAGAGACUAAAUGAGCAGUGAGUGUCAGUGGCCGGGAGGAGCAGCCAGGAGAGAGAGGUGACCCUGAAAACCCUGAAAAGAUGUGGAGUCCUCUGGGUUGCCUGGUCCUGGCAAUAUCUGGGGCCAGGCAUAUAUUUAGGAGGCUGCUCCAAGGCCUCAUAAGUUGAUUGGUGUAUCCUGGAGGAUAUUCUUACAUAACCUUAGGCCUGCUGUUUUUGCCAUUUAUUCCUUUUUUUCAUGACAACCAUCUGACUGUGCUUUAGCUAACAAAGCUUACAUGUUUAACAGGGACACAGCAACAUGCCAAAGUUAAAACUGUUGACUGCAGCAUCAGCCUCAUUAUUCAACUACACAAGCUAGCCAGGAUGCCUGCAUGUAUGCUUUGUGUUAAUUGUUGUGGAAAAUGCCACUGUAAAGGUGAUUCAUAAGGACAGUUUUCCACAGCCAUGACUCAACAUGUGCAGCCCUAACACAGCAUGUAGCAGCCUCAUCUCACCAAUGAUAGGUCUCCAGAGACAUGAGAUGCUUCUGAAGGUACUGUUGUUUAUCUGUAGCCUGAUUCCCUAGAACUGCUUGCUGUGUACAUCUCCCAAGUGUUUAAGUGUCUGCCAGACUUCUGUCAGCAGGAUUAAUGUCUCCAGCUGUGUCACUAUUGGAUUAUUUCCCUUUGAUAUCCUCAGAGUUUUCCAAGCUCACCAGCUGUAACACUUUGUUAGUGUUAAUCUUUGCAAGGACUACCAAAAAACACAGAUGUGUGAA